UACGGGGGGGGUAAGCGUUGUUCGGAAUUACUGGGCGUAAAGGGCUCGUAGGCGGCCAACUAAGUCGGACGUGAAAUCCCUCAGCUUAACUGGGGAACUGCGUCUGAUACUGGAUGGCUUGGAUUUGGGAGAGGGAUGCGGAAUUCCAGGUGUAGCGGUGAAAUGCGUAGAUAUCGGAAGGAACGCCGGUGGCGAAAGCGGUCUGCUGGAUCUCUUCUGACGCUGAUGCGCGAAAGCCAGGGGAGCAAACGGG
rnacentral:rRNA from 1 species